rnacentral:misc_RNA from 1 species
AACGCACAUUCCGCACUUCGGUAUUCCGAAGGGCAUCCCUGUUCGAGCGUCAUUGCACCCCUCAAGCAUUGCUUGGUAUUGGGCUUCGCCCCUGUGGCGGGGCUGGAGUUCAGUAGCGGUCCAGCGAGACUUCAAGCGUAGCAAGAUUCCACGGUCCCGCUUUGGAAGGUUCCUGCUGCGUGCCGGCCAGAUAACCACAAUUGCUUUCAAUGAUUGACCGCGGAGCAGGUAGGGAUACCCGGUGAGCUUAA